GACGAACGCUGGCGGCGUGCUUAACACAUGCAAGUCGAACGGUAAGGCCCUUCGGGGUACACGAGUGGCGAACGGGUGAGUAACACGUGGGUGAUCUGCCCUGCACUUCGGGAUAAGCCUGGGAAACUGGGUCUAAUACCGGAUAGGACCCUGGGAUGCAUGUCCUGGGGUGGAAAGCUUUUGCGGUAUGGGAUGGGCCCGCGGCCUAUCAGCUUGUUGGUGGGGGGAUGGCCUACCAAGGCGACGACGGGUAGCCGGCCUGAGAGGGUGACCGGCCACACUGGGACUGAGAUACGGCCCAGACUCCUACGGGAGGCAGCAGUGGGGAAUAUUGCACAAUGGGCGCAAGCCUGAUGCAGCGACGCCGCGUGAGGGAUGACGGCCUUCGGGUUGUAAACCUCUUUCAGCACCGACGAAGCGCAAGUGACGGUAGGUGCAGAAGAAGGACCGGCCAACUACGUGCCAGCCGCCGCAGUAA
rnacentral:rRNA from 1 species